rnacentral:misc_RNA from 1 species
CAGUGCUUACCCUUCGGGGGACUCACCACCCUGUGUAUUAUUACUUGUUGCUUUGGCAGGCCGCGAGGUUGCUACGCGAUUGAGCACCGGCUCCGGCUGGAGAGCGCCUGCCAGGGGACCCAAACCUGUUAUUUUGUGAAAUCUGAGUACUAUUAAAUAGUUA